rnacentral:rRNA from 1 species
GACGAACGCUGGCGGCGUGCUUAACACAUGCAAGUCGAACGGAAAGGCCUUGCUUUUGUGGGGUGCUCGAGUGGCGAACGGGUGAGAAACACGUGAGUAACCUGCCUUUGACUUUGGGAUAUCUUCAGGAAACUGGGGCUAAUACCGGAUAGGAGCUCCUGCUGCAUGGGGGGGGUUGGAAAGUUUCGGCGGUUGGGGUUGGACUCGCGGCUUAUCAGCUUGCUGGUGGGGUAGUGGCUUACCAAGGCUUUGACGGGUAGCCGGCCUGAGAGGGUGACCGGCCACAUUGGGACUGAGAUACGGCCCGGACUCCUACGGGAGGCAGCAGUGGGGAAUAUUGGACAAUGGGCGGAAGCCUGAUGCAGCAACGCCGCGUGCGGGAUGACGGCCUUCGGGUUGUAAACCGCUUUCGCCUGUGACGAAGCGUGAGUGACGGUAAUGGGUAAAGAAGCACCGGCUAACUACGUG